UUACAUUUAAUUUAUAUAGAUGUGUUGACUUUGUCUUCAGUUGGUGCAUUUAGUUCAUUGAUUUAAUUCGGUUUUAAAAUUUGUUUUUAUUUGUCAUUUAAUCAAGUUAACUUGAACUCACAGUUUAUUGUUCUGUUUACGUUUUAUUAUUUUCAAGAUGCCUUUACUCAAAUUGCUGUCCAGAGAUGGGUGUAUUCACAAAGUGAAUGUGGACAUCUUACAAUGUUCCGAAACGAUUAAAUACUAUAUGUCAGACAAAAACAAGAAAAGAGAAUAUGUAGCGGUAUCAAUCGAUUCAGACAUAUUAAAGUUGAUUAUCAAGUGGGCCACUCAUCACAAGGAUGAUCCACCUGUACCAGAAGAAGUUCCAAAUAGUGAUGUGGAGCACAAUAUUCCAGAAUGGGAUGCCAAAUUUUUAAACGUGGACGAAUCAACAUUACGUCGAUUGGAAUCAGCUGCUGAUCAUCUGAAUAUAAAAGGCUUAGGGAAAUUGAUAUUCGAAUAUACUAAGCUAAGGCAAAGAAGUGACGAUGAAUAGUAAGUGAAAUUGUAAGUAGGUAGGCAACUUCUUACAACAUUGUAGGUCAUCAUAAGUCAUGGAAGAACUCGUGAAAGAAGCAUUAGACACAAAUAAAACGUGCACUCAUCGAUAAACAUGAUAAUAAAAGGUCUAAAUUAGAAGCAAAAAAUGAGGCAUAUUCAAUGAUUAGGUACCAAAUUUGUUAGAUGAAAUUCUUAUUUAUGAUGAGCUCCACAAAUAUAUCUGAAAUAGUUUCUCUUCUUUGUUCCAAAUGUAUGUCUAUUUGAAUUUUAUAAAAAAAAAUUGAAUGUUUGAAAUUAUUUUUCAACUUAAUUUUUUUUCAAUUUUUAUGAAUAAAAUUGUUUUCAAUUUAUUUAAUUCCAGUUAUAAUAAUUAAAUUGCAUUACUACAUUUUUCAAAUAUCUACAGAAAAAAACACAUUUUACCGAUAGAAGACAAUUGUUUGUUAUUUUUAACGUUUGUUAUGUUCAAAUUAAUGUUUAUGUAAAAAUGAUUAAAGUUAUAUUUCUA